rnacentral:rRNA from 1 species
UUCUUCCCCCCGGGAAAAAUACAUAUCAUAAGCGGAGGACAAGAUAUUCAACAGGGAUUUCCCCAGUAACGGCGAGUGAAGCGGCAACAGCUCAAAUUUGAAAUCUGGCUCUUUUAGAGUCCGAGUUGUAAUUUGCAGAGGGCGCUUUGGCUUUGGCAGCGGUCCAAGUUCCUUGGAACAGGACGUCACAGAGGGUGAGAAUCCCGUACGUGGUCGCUGGCUAUUGCCGUGUAAAGCCCCUUCGACGAGUCGAGUUGUUUGGGAAUGCAGCUCUAAAUGGGAGGUACAUUUCUUCUAAAGCUAAAUAUUGGCCAGAGACCGAUAGCGCACAAGUAGAGUGAUCGAAAGAUGAAAAGCACUUUGGAAAGAGAGUCAAACAGCACGUGAAAUUGUUGAAAGGGAAGCGCUUGCAGCCAGACUUGCUUGCAGUUGCUCAUCCGGGCUUUUGCCCGGUGCACUCUUCUGCAGGCAGGCCAGCAUCAGUUUGGGCGGUAAGAUAAAGGUCUCUGUCACGUACCUCUCUUCGGGGAGGCCUUAUAGGGGAGACGACAUAUUACCAGCCUGGACUGAGGUCCGCGCAUCUGCUAGGAUGCUGGCGUAAUGGCUGUAAGCGGCCCGUCUUGAAACACGGACCAAGGAGUCUAACAUCUAUGCGAGUGUUUGGGUGUCAAGCCCGAGCGCGUAAUGAAAGUGAACGGAGGUAGGAACCCGCAAGGGUGCACUAUCGACCGAUCCUGAUGUCUUCGGAAGGAUUUGAGUAAGAGCAUGGCUGUUGGGACCCGAAAGAUGGUGAACUAUGCUUGAAUAGGGUGAAGCCAGAGGAAACUCUGGUGGAGGCUCGCAGCGGUUCUGACGUGCAAAUCGAUCGUCAAAUUUGGGCAUAGGGGCGAAAGACUAAUCGAACAUCCAUUGGUUC